CAACAAAGCGGAACCUGGGAAUGUGGGUAUUAUGUGAUGUACGCUAUGUAUGAUUUUUUGAUGACUUGCAGAGAACAUCUUAUGAUGUACAAUUCUAGGCCCCUUACUCGGUGUGAAAUUGACAAAUUUGUAGAAAACAUAUUAAAGACGUUUGUGCAAUUACAUGUAAAGAAGAGAGCAAAUUCUACCUGACGAUUCACCGGGAUUUUUAAAGAAACAAUUUGCUAUUGGCUUCUAAGAAUCAGGGGUUGAAUUCACAGCAAUAUGGAUGUGUGCUAGAGGGUUCAAGUCAACUUAUUAAGGAUUUCUAGUAGAUGUUAUUUUGCCGAA